rnacentral:rRNA from 1 species
AUUGAACGCUGGCGGCAGGCCUAACACAUGCAAGUCGAACGAGUGGCGGACGGGUGAGUAAUGUCUGGGAAACUGCCUGAUGGAGGGGGAUAACUACUGGAAACGGUAGCUAAUACCGCAUACCAUCAGAUGUGCCCAGAUGGGAUUAGCUAGUUGGUGGGGUAACGGCUCACCCAGGCGACGAUCCCUAGCGGGUCUGAGAGGAUGACCGCCCACACGGGAACUGAGACACUGUCCAGUCUCCUAGGGGAGGCAGCAGGGGGGAAUAGGGCACAAUGGGCGAAAGGCUGAUGGAGCCAGGACGCGUGUAUGGAGAGGGCCUGCGGGUUGUAGAGUACUUUCAGCGGGGAGGCGUUACCCGCAGAAGAAGCACCGGCUAACUCCGUGCCAGCAGCCGCGGUAAUUC